UUCCGCCUGAGGCUCCGCGGGCAAGUCGAGGGAUUGCCUGGCUGCGGCGAUGGAAGCGGUGGGCGUACGGCUGGUGGACUGUCACUGCCACAUCUCCGCCCCGGACUUUGACCGCGAUCUGGAUGAUGUGUUGGAGAAAGCCAAGAAGGCCAAUGUUAUGGCUCUUGUGGUGGUUGCUGAACAUUCAGGAGAAUUUGAAAAGAUUAUGCAGCUUUCAGAAAGGUAUAAUGGAUUUGUCCUGCCAUGCUUGGGUGUUCACCCAGUUCAGGGAGUUUCACCAAAAGACCAAAGAAGUGUCACGUUAAAGGAUUUGGAUGUAGCUUUGCCCAUUAUCGAGUAUUAUAAGGAUCGAUUGUUGGCAAUUGGAGAGGUUGGACUAGAUUUCUCCCCCAGAAUUGCUGGCACUGAUGAACAGAAGGAAGAGCAAAGACAAGUCCUAAUCAGACAGGUCCAAUUAGCCAAAAGGCUAAAUUUGCCUUUAAAUGUUCACUCACGUUCAGCUGGAAGACCCACCAUCAGCCUCUUAAAUGAGCAAGGUGCUGACAAAGUGUUGCUGCAUGCAUUUGAUGGUCGGCCAUCUGUAGCCAUGGAAGGAGUAAAAGCUGGGUACUUCUUCUCAAUUCCUCCUUCUAUCAUAAGAAGUGGACAGAAGCAGAAACUUGUGAAACAGUUGCCUUUAACUUCGAUUUGCUUGGAAACAGAUUCACCUGCACUAGGGCCAGAAAAAAAGGUACGGAAUGAGCCCCAAAACAUUUCCAUUUCAGCAGAAUAUAUUGCCCAGGUGAAAGGGAUCUCAGUGGAGGAAGUUAUAGAAGUGACAACACAGAACACAUUGAAACUGUUUCCCAAGCUUCAGUACCUGCUCCCGAAAUAGCUUCAAAACAAAAUCAACUGCAGAGGGCACUGUUUGAGAAAAAUAAAUGUUCUAAUGAAGAGUCUGAAAUGAAGAAGCCAUUGUUUCGGGAUUAUAAAUUUAGAGAAAUAUUUUUCUUAGAAGUAAAACUGGGCUUAGAUCCUAAAACCCUGAGUUCUAAUUCUACCUUGCACUGCUUUUCAAUUAAUGGAGUCCUAGCAGGAGAUUGGGAAAUACCACUGCUUCUUACUUUGCCCUGUUAAAUAAAGAACCACCAAAUGAACUGAAACCAUUUCUUCUGGCAAGGGUAGCUCCCACAGAAAAAGACAUCUUCUACAUGUCUUGCAACAAGGUUUGCAAUAGUGAAUGGAGAAGGUCUCUGAGGAGGGGCCGGGAUGGCAGAGUAGGAAGACCCUGAGCUCACCUCCUCUCAUGGGCACACAAAAUUACAACUAUUUACAGAGUAACUGUUGAUGAGAAAGACCAGAAGACCAGCAGAAAAGAUCUUCUGCUACUAAAGAAGGAACAGCAACGAGACAGGUAGGAAGGAUGGAGACAUGGUAUAGUCAAGACCCAUAUGCCCAGGUAGGUGACUCAUGAAUGGGAGGAUGAUUACAACUGCAGAGGUUUUUCUCCAGGAGUAAGGGGCCUGAGCCCCACAUCAAGCUCCCCAGGCCCGGGUGUCCUACACCAAGAAGAUGAGCCCCCAGAAUGUUUGGCUUUGAAGGCCACGGGGGCUUACUUUCUGGAGACCCAGAGGGCUGCAGGAAAUAGAGACUCCACCCUUAAAGGGCACACACAAAAUCUCACACACUCCAGGACCCAGGGCAGAAGCAGUGAUUUGAAAGGAGCCUGGGUCAGACCCACCUGCUGAUCUUAGAGAGCCUCCCCAGGAGGCAGGAGGCACCUGGAGCUCACUCUGGGGACAUAAAUAAUUGCAGCAGAAAAUUUUCUGGAGCUGCUUCUACCACGUGGACACUGGUGCUGGCAAGUGCCAUUUUGGAAUCCUCCUUCAAGUUUAUUAGCACCGGGAUCUGGCCCUGCCCACAAGCCUGUCAGCACCAGUACUGGACACCUCAGCCCAAAGAACCAGCUGGGGGAAGAUGCUGCCCCACCCACCAGCUGGCCUGCUGUCUUCAGACACGUUGAGCCCAAAGUCACCCUGGGACAUGGCCCUGCCCACCAGUGCUAGGCUCUGGACCAGCCUCAUCCACCAGUGGACAUGCAUCAGCCCCAUGAUCACCUGGGCUGCAGCCUGGGUCCCAUCCACCUGCAGACCAUCUUACCAACCCUGGGACCCCUAGGGCCUGCAGCCAGAGAUCCUGGGACACAGCUCCGCCCAGCAGCAGGCCAGCGCUAGCCCCAAGGCCUGGCUUCCCCCACAAGCAUGCAGACACCAGACCCAGGACCACUGCAGCCCCUUAGCCCAGCCCAUGUCAGGACCCAGCCCACCCACCAGCAGGCCAACACCAGCUCUGUGACAUCUUGGGCCCCUCAUCCAGCAGCCCCAGGAUCCAGCUUACCCACCAGCGGGCUGACACCAGCUCAGAGAGACCUUGCACCCCUCAGCCAACCACUCCAGGAUGUAGCCCAACUCACCAGCAAGUCAGCACCAGCUUUGGGACACCCCAGAACCCACAACCAGCCAUGUCAAGAACCAGCCUACCCACCAGGAGGCUGACACUAGAUCUGGGAACCUCAGCCCCAUAACCACCAAUCCCAGAACCUAGCUCCACCCACCAGUGGGCCAGCACUAGCCCUGUGACCCCUGGGACUUGGCAGCAAGCACUUCAUGACCUGGCCCUGCUAACCAGCACCUGGCAACCAACCAGACCAGGGCCCAGCUACACUACCAGACCUCCCACAGUGCUCAGCCUGCCACAACAGGAGGACCCACACAGCCCACAUAGGGGGCACCCCUAGAGCAUAUAGCUCUGGUGACCAGAGGGGAGUGUGCUGCUGAGAUACAUAGGCUGUCUCCUAUGAAAGGCCAAUUCUCCAAAGUCAGGAAAUGUAACCAAUCUACCAAAUACACAAAUAAAAACAGCAAAUUAGGCAAAAUGAGAUAACAGAGGAAUAUGUUCCAAACAGAGUAGCAAGAUAAAACCCCAGAAGAACUAAGUGAAGUGGAGAUAGGCAAUAUAUCUGAUAAAUUGUUCAAGUUAAUGAUCGUAAAGAUGUUCAAAGAACUCAGGAGGAGAUUGUACAAACAGAAUGAGAAGUUAGAAGUUUUUAACAAAGAGUUAGAAAAUAUAAAGAAGAACCAAACAGAGAUGAAGGAUACAAUAACUAAAAUGAAAAAUGCACUAGAAGGAAUCAACAGAAGAUUAAAUGAUAUGGAGGAAUGAGUUAGCAAGCUGGAAAACAGAGUGGAAAUCACUGAUACUGAACAGAAAAAAGAAUAAAAAGAAAUGAGGACAGUUUAAAGAGACCUCUGGGACAACAUCAGGCAUACUAACAUUCACAUUAUAGGGGUCCCAGAAGGAGAAGGGAGAGAACAAGAGCAAAGGUCAUAUUUGAAGACAUAAUAGCUAAAAAAUUCCCUAACUUGAGAAAGGAAACAGACAUCCAGGUCCAGGAAGCAGAGUCUCAAACAGGAUCAACCCAAGGAGGACCACACUAAGACACAUUGUAAUUAAAAUGACAAAAAUUAAAGAUAAAAAAUAUUAAAACCAUCAAGGGAGGGACUUCCCUGGCUGUCCAGUGCUUAAGACUCCGUGCUUCCACUGCAGGGGGCCUGGGUUCAAUCCCUGGUCGGGGAUCUGAUCCCUCAUGCUGUGCGACACCUCUAAAAAAAUGGAAGGGAGGGAGGGAGGGAAGGAGGAAGGAAGGAAUCAGUGUUUGAAAAAAAAAACGCAUCGAGGGAAAAUCUACAAGUUACAUACUACAAGGGAACUCCCAUAAAGCUAUCAGCUGACUUUUCAGCAGAAACUCUGCAGGCCAGAACAGAGUGGCAUGAUAUAUUCAAAACAAUGAAAGGGAAAAACCUAUAACCAAGAAUACUCUACCUGGCAAGGCUUUCAUUCAGAUUUGAUAGAUUAAGUUUUGCAGACAAGCAAAAGUUGAAAGAGUUCAGCACCACCAAACCAGCUUUACAAGAAAUGCUAAAGGGACUUCUCUAAAUGAAAAAGAAAAGGCCACAGCUAGAAACGUGAAAGUUACAAAAGGAAAAAGCUCAUUGGUAAAGGCAAAUGCACAGUAAAGGUAGUAAAUCAACCAUGUAUGAAAAGAGGUUAAAAGACAAAAGUAGUAAACUCAUCUAUAGCCUCAGUAUUUAAAGGGUAUACAAAACAAAAAAAUACAUGUCAAAAAUAGUAAACAUUGGGGGGAGUGGAGUAAAAAUGCAGAGUUGUUAAAAUGCAGUUGAACUUAAGAAAUCAGCAACUUAAAACAGUCACAUGUAGAGUCACAUGUACAUAAACCUCAUGGUAUCCACAAACCAAAAAUCCAUAAUAUACAAACAAAAAAGAGAAUCCAAA